rnacentral:lncRNA from 1 species
AAUUUUCACUUUAUGUUUUCCAUCUUCAGUUCCACUUGUCUAGGUGCAAAAAGAGGCUGUACCGAUGGCAGAGCAGUGCAGCCCCUGGGAAUGCCCUCCUCGGGACACCUCCUGCACAGGGGACACGUUUGGUGACUGCUCCCAUGAAGACGGCUUCUACUGAAAUUUUCCCAUCAAAAUAGGGAUUCCCACAAACAUGGCUUGAAUGAAGUGGGAUGAAUUCUAAACUCUCCUCUGAGGAGGCCACGACUUCUCUGAUACUAGGUCCUAGAGAGCUGGAAGUGCUUCCUGAGCCAUAAAGUGCUCCAAGGAGGGAAGACUCCACCCAAGCCUUCUGUCUUCACCACCAAGACAGAAUUUCUGAUUAAGGGCCAUCCGUGUUUCCCAGGAAUUCAACUUCCACAGGGUCAUCCUGUUCAAGAGGCUUCACCUCCUGUGAUGGGUCCACACCAGACCCUCUCAUCCAGAAGGUGGAACAGUCCAGCAGAGCACCUUGGACGCCAACCCUUGGGACACUUACUGAAAGUGACUCUAGUCUGCUUUUUCAUUUAGAACUGAAACAUAUGUCUUUAGGAUAAUGCAGAAGUAAUGCUCAUUCAACAUGGAUAAAUUUUGCAAAGCACAAAGAAAAUGAAUACUUCCUUUCAUUCCACCAUUCAGAAAUAAUGUUGUCUGAAUCUCUGUUAAUAUUUCAGUAUAUUUUUGGUAACCAGUAUCUAGUCUUCUGAGCAUAUCUGUAUUUUUAUUUGUUAAAUGUUUUAAGGCUUCCUGUGUUAUAACCUGCCUUGUCACUUCAUGUAUCAUAAAUAGCUUUCUAGGUCAUUAAAUAUGUGACCCCC